rnacentral:rRNA from 1 species
CGCGAAUGGCUCAUUACAACAGCUAUAAUUUACUUGACCUUGACAAUCCUACUUGGAUAACUGUGGUAAUUCUAGAGCUAGUACAUGCACCAAAGCUCCGACCUCGCGGGAGGAGCGCAUUUAUUAGAACAAAACCAAGCGGGCGCCUCACGGUGCUCGUGAUUUGUUGACUCAGAAUAACUAAGCUGAUCGCAUGGUCUUGCACCGGCGACGUGUCUUUCAAGUAUCUGCCUUAUCAACUUUCGAUGGUAGUGUAUCUGACUACCAUGGUUGUGACGGGUAACGGAGGAUAAGGGUUCGACUCCGGAGAAGGGGCCUGAGAAAUGGCCACUACGUCUAAGGAUGGCAGCAGGCGCGCAAAUUACCCACUCUCAGAACACUGAGGAGGUAGUGACGAGAAAUAACGAGGCCGUUCUCUAUGAGGCCGGUCAUCGGAAUGGGUACAAUCUAAACCCUUUAACGAGUAUCUAUGAGAGGGCAAGUCUGGUGCCAGCAGCCGCGGUAAUUCCAGCU